AUUGAACGCUGGCGGCAGGCUUAACACAUGCAAGUCGAGCGGGGAAGGGUAGCUUGCUACCUGACCUAGCGGCGGACGGGUGAGUAAUGCUUAGGAAUCUGCCCAUUAGUGGGGGACAACAUUCCGAAAGGAAUGCUAAUACCGCAUACGCCCUACGAGGGAAAGCAGGGGAUCUUCGGACCUUGCGCUAAUAGAUGAGCCUAAGGCAGAUUAGCUAGUUGGUGGGGUAAAGGCCUACCAAGGCGACGAUCUGUAGCGGGUCUGAGAGGAUGAUCCGCCACACUGGGACUGAGACACGGCCCAGACUCCUACGGGAGGCAGCAGUGGGGAAUAUUGGACAAUGGGCGAAAGCCUGAUCCAGCCAUGCCGCGUGUGUGAAGAAGGCCUUUUGGUUGUAAAGCACUUUAAGCGAGGAGGAGGCUACCGAGAUUAAUACUCUUGGAUAGUGGACGUUACUCGCAGAAUAAGCACCGGCUAACUCUGUGCCAGCAGCCGCCGUAAUAC
rnacentral:rRNA from 1 species